rnacentral:rRNA from 1 species
GCCUAACACAUGCAAGUCGAACGAGAACGGAUAUUAGUUUACUAAUAUUGUCAGCUAAGUGGCGCACGGGUGAGUAAUAUAUAGUUAACCUGCCUCAAAGAAGGGAAUAAUUGUUGGAAACGACUUGUAAUGCCCUAUAUGCCUUUAUGACAAAAGUCAGCAAGGGAAAUAUUUAUAGCUUUGAGAUGGGACUGUACGGUAUCAGAUAGUUGGUGAGGUAAUGGCUUACCAAGUCUAUGACGCCUAACUGGUUUGAGAGGAUGAUCAGUCACACUGGAACUGAGACACGGUCCAGACUCCUACGGGAGGCAGCAGUGGGGAAUAUUGCACAAUGGAGGGAACUCUGAUGCAGCAACGCCGCGUGGAGGAUGACACAUUUCGGUGCGUAAACUCCUUUUAUAUAAGAAGAUAAUGACGGUAUUAUAUGAAUAAGCACCGGCUAACUCCGUGCCAGCAGCCGCGGUAAUACGGGGGGUGCAAGCGUUACUCGGAAUCACUGGGCGUAAAGAGCAUGUAGGCUGGUAGAAAAGUUGGAAGUGAAAUCCUAUGGCUUAACCAUAGAACUGCUUCCAAAACUCUCUACCUAGAAUAUGGGAGAGGUAGAUGGAAUUUCUGGUGUAGGGGUAAAAUCCGUAGAGAUCAGAAGGAAUACCGAUUGCGAAGGCGAUCUACUGGAACAUUAUUGACGCUCAGAUGAGAAAGCGUGGGGAGCAAACAGGAUUAGAUACCCUGGUAGUCCACGCCCUAAAUGAUGCACACUAGUUGUUGCCAUACUAGAUAUGGCAGUAAUGCAGUUAACACAUUAAGUGUGCCGCCUGGGGAGUACGGUCGCAAGAUUAAAACUCAAAGGAAUAGACGGGGACCCGCACAAGCGGUGGAGCAUGUGGUUUAAUUCGACGAUAC